CGCCAGUCGGCCCAGUCACCGUCGUCUUCAACCGACUGGAUGCUAACAAUAACGGCAAGGUGUCACAAGAGGAAUUCCUUGAAGGCUAUGCUAAGAUUCUGGCUGAGGUGGCAGCGAUUGUUGGGUGAAAGACAAGACGAUUUGUGAUUAGUUGUGCAAUAAAAGGGAGGACUAGUUAUUUGA